ensembl:lncRNA
UUUUUUUUUUUUUUUUUUUUUAGAGUCGCGGUACACUUAUAAUAAUCAUAAAAUAAUAGAAUUGUAGCAACUUUUUGUCCUGCCUCAGUGACUUGAUAUAUACACUGCAAACAGUCCUCAGUCUGAGGAAGGUCAGUUGAAGUCCUUACUGUACAAAUCCAAAUUUUAAGGAAAAUGAGUCCCGCAAUGAGUUUCCUCAUGCUUCGGCCGUGCAUGGACCAGUCAGCUUCCGGGUGUGACUGGAGCAGGGCUUGUCGUCUUCUCCAGAGUCACUUUGCAGGGGUUGGCAAAGCUGCUCCCGUCCACGUACCACUCACAGUCUACUGAUGUUCAAGGAUGGUUUCAGAGGUUGGGGCCUGCUAGAAUAAACUGAGUCCAACACAUCUACACAGUUAUGUUCAACUGGGCUCUCUGAUACUGGGAGCAAGGUGGCGGGGUUUAGGGUGUUGCAAACUUCAGUGGUUAUGCAGGGAUUUUCACAUAGCGAUCUUUGAUACUCGGUUAAUCUAUCAUUUGUUAACCAGUGAUGUCCUUUGGUAAUCAUUAAAGUUACCACAGCAUGAGGGGCCUUUAUAUUCAGGUUUUGCCUAAGGGUUAGUUUAUCUGCUUCUUGUACUAACAGGGCCGUUGCUGCCAGGGCCCUUAGACAUGGAGGCCAGCCUUUGGAAACCCCAUCUAGUUGUUUUGAGAGAUAGGCCGCUGGCCUUGGCCAGGGCCCCAUAGUCUGGGUUAAAACUCCAGCUGCCAUUUUUCUUCUUUCUGAUGUAUAGGGUGUAAAGGGUUUUGUCAGGUCAGGUAGCCCCAGGGCUGGGGCCGACUUGAGUUUUUCUUUUAACUCAUGAAAAGCUCAUUGCUGUUGGUUGUAAUAGAUAUAGUUUAUCCAAUUUACAUUUUUAUUAACUGUCACUCACCAAAAUACUGACUCAAAUCCUAGAGCUAUUUAAUUUCAAGCUUUAAAUUGAUCUGGUAUUCCCCGUGGGACUCUAAUUGUGUCUAAACGGACGUGAGAGUUGAAAGACCAAUAAGAGGCUUUUCUUGCUUUACGACAUCUUAUUUUUCCUCCCUCUGGUUGAUGAAAUGCCAGGGUGAAAGGGAUAGCCAACUGGACUAAAGUACAAGUGCCACUCCAGUUAUUUGGCAGAGUGCCCAGUCAAGGUCCACCACAAUACCACCACACAUCCGCUUGGGGAUGAACAAGGGCUGACUGAUUGAUAAGCUCUUGAAAAUUUUUAAGCUCACCGUAUCCCUUCAAGUCUCCAAGGAAUGCUAAGUUUCCUCCCUGUCGUGAGAGACAUGAAGUGAACUUAGUGUUGGGAGACAGAGGCUGGAUGGCCCUUGGGGGUUGACCCGCAGGGUGCUGGACUUUGGGAUACAGCAGAGAGAGGCUGGCACGACUUAUUACUCCAGGCUGUAGAAUCCUGCAAAAGAGCUACCAUGCAGCCCAUGCCUGGUCGACUGGAGGACCACCAUAGUGGAAAGGGGACAAUCUGGGCCUAAUUUUUAAAUCUCUUUAAGGAUGUUAUCAUUAGGAUAAACUGAGUAAAAGGCACACAGGAUUUUUCUGUGGCAUUUUAUACAAACGUAUGUGAAUUUACAGUGAUUUCAAAAUAAAAAGUUUUGAAGAAAUAAAUGUUUUAAUUAUGAGAUGUAAAAAAUCUCUUUAAGAGAUGCACAAAGAAGAAAAAAUGAGAAGAAAAAGGCUUACACUAAAAAUUAGAACUUGGGAGGAGCUGUGGAUCACAACCAUGAGUUCAGAUUUUGAGAUGAUUUACCCAAAGUCAUAUUCAUGUGAGAGAUGAACACAGCUUCUUCAUUCUGAGGUUGCUCAAGUUGUCAACAGAAACCUGCUGCCAGUGAUGACUCAAAACGUUCCCCAAGAUUUGAAGGAAUCCCACAAUCCUCAGCAACAAACCACAGCUUGAGGUCUUUCCCCAAAAGCUCAUGGUGGCAGUUCCUGCCGAGAGUCAAGUCAAUCUGCAACCAUUCCAAAUCUCCCAGCCGUACUUUCCACCAAUAAAGAAGAUCAACCCAGGACAAGUGGCCUUGCCAAAUGAGAGACUGGUGAACCACAAAAACACUUCCCAAAAAAUCCACAGGGUCACAAAGUGGCAGAGCUGUCCAUGACAGUUGAUGAAGUUCCUCUUUUGGGUUCCACAUAUGCCUGACAGACUUCCUCCCUUUGGUUCAGCAGCCUCAGCUCCAUUAACCAGAGGUGGGCACCACUAUGGACUAAGUGGGGUGGGGCAUUCUGGCAGGAAGCAAAUGGGUAAACAGUCAAAGAGAGUUUGUACUUCAGUUUGGAAAAAAGGCCUCUGGACACCCAUCUAGAAGCCAGAACUUGAUUUUCAUCAGAAGACUUGAGUUUCAUCUCUGCUCAGUUAUUGUGGAAACUUACAAAAAUUCUUUAACAUGUUUCCCCAUCUCUGUUGGUGAUAAUAAUACCUCUCAAUAAAUAUUAAGAUGACACCUCUCAAGAAAUAUUAAAAUGCAGUGAGGUCAUGGAUAUUCAAAAACUGGAUUUUUCCUUUUCCUUAAGUCAGUGUUUCCCAAGGUGUAGCCUACAAACUAUUAAUGGUACAUAAGAAAACUGUAGACUAAAAUAGACUUUUAAAUUUUAAUCCUUAUAAACUUGACUUAAAGGAUAUUAGAAAAAAAACAUAACUAGCUUAUCUACCUUGCUAAGAUUAGGUUAAGUUUAAAACUGAGUCAAAAUA